rnacentral:rRNA from 1 species
CCUACGGGGGGCAGCAGUGGGGAAUAUUGGACAAUGGGGGCAACCCUGAUCCAGCCAUGCCGCGUGUGUGAAGAAGGCCCUCGGGUUGUAAAGCACUUUCAGUGAGGAAGAACGCCUGGUGGUUAAUACCCAUCAGGAAAGACAUCACUCACAGAAGAAGCACCGGCUAACUCCGUGCCAGCAGCCGCGGUAAUACGGAGGGUGCGAGCGUUAAUCGGAAUUACUAGGCGUAAAGCGCGCGUAGGUGGCUUGAUAAGCCGGUUGUGAAAGCCCCGGGCUCAACCUGGGAACGGCAUCCGGAACUGUCAAGCUAGAGUGCAGGAGAGGAAGGUAGAAUUCCCGGUGUAGCGGUGAAAUGCGUAGAGAUCGGGAGGAAUACCAGUGGCGAAGGCGGCCUUCUGGACUGACACUGACACUGAGGUGCGAAAGCGUGGGUAGCAAACAGGAUUAGAUACCCCGGUAGUC